GCGCGAAACCUUCGCAAUGUACGCAAGUGCGACGAGGGGAUCCCAAGUGUCAUUCUUAACGGGAUGGCUUUUCAUUAGUGUAAAAAGCUUUUAGAAUAAGAGCUGGGCAAGACCGGUGCCAGCCGCCGCGGUAACACCGGCAGCUCGAGUGGUAGCUGUUUUUAUUGGGCCUAAAGCGUUCGUAGCCGGUUUGAUAAGUCUUUGGUGAAAGCUUGUAGCUUAACUAUAGGAAUUGCUGGAGAUACUAUCAGACUUGAAGUCGGGAGAGGUUAGAGGUACUACCGGGGUAGGGGUGAAAUCCUAUAAUCCUGGGAGGACCACCUGUGGCGAAGGCGUCUAACUGGAACGAUCUUGACGGUGAGUAACGAAAGCCAGGGGCGCGAACCGG
rnacentral:rRNA from 1 species